rnacentral:lncRNA from 1 species
CAAAUAUAAACUACAUGUAUUGUUCAAACAUACACCACAUGCCACUUUUCCUUUUGUACUCCAUCCAGAUAAGUUUCCAUAUGCUGGAUAGUCAUUGAUUGUCCAUAGCAGAGCCGCUCGCAUUAUAAAAGUUUCUUUCUUCACUGAGUCAUAAGUUUGAACACCAUCAUUCCAUAAUAACUUUAACUCGUCUAUUAGUGGUUCUAAAUACACAUCAAUAUCAUUGCCUGGUUGUUCUGGACCUGGAAUCACUAAUGAUAGAAUCAUAUUUGAUUGUUUCAUGCACAACCAUGGUGGCAUGUUGUAUGGGAUAAGAACAACUGGC